rfam:Triticum aestivum genome assembly, contig: Triticum_aestivum_CS42_TGACv1_scaffold_404649_5BL
GUAGUACUCCUCCGUCCGGAAAUAGUUGUGGGGAUGUAUCUAGAUAUAUUGUAGUUCUAGAUACAUCCCUUUUUGUCCAUUUUGAUGACAAGUAUUUUCGGACGAAGGGAGUAUUUU